UGCUCCUUGCAAUGUACAAAGAGACACUUUGUUGGCGGCCUUGUUCUUGUAUCAGCCAGGGGCAGAGCAGACGGCAGGCCUUUGUUCAUCCUAGCUUGAUGCCUGGCUUGGUAGCCAAAGCUGUGUGAUGCCUAGGACUCAAAA